AUGCACGCUGGCGGCGUGCCUCAUACAUGCAAGUCGCGCGAACGGACGAGAAGCUUGCUUCUCUGAUGUUAGCGGCGGACGGGUGAGUAACACGUGGAUAACCUACCUAUAAGACUGGGAUAACUUCGGGAAACCGGAGCUAAUACCGGAUAAUAUUUUGAACCGCAUGGUUCAAAAGUGAAAGACGGUCUUGCUGUCACUUAUAGAUGGAUCCGCGCUGCAUUAGCUAGUUGGUAAGGUAACGGCUUACCAAGGCAACGAUGCAUAGCCGACCUGAGAGGGUGAUCGGCCACACUAGAACUGAGACACGGUCCAGACUCCUACGGGAGGCAGCAGUAGGGAAUCUUCCGCAAUGGGCGAAAGCCUGACGGAGCAACGCCGCGUGAGUGAUGAAGGUCUUCGGAUCGUAAAACUCUGUUAUUAGGGAAGAACAUAUGUGUAAGUAACUGUGCACAUCUUGACGGUACCUAAUCAGAAAGCCACGGCUAACUACGUG
rnacentral:rRNA from 1 species